rnacentral:rRNA from 1 species
AGAGUUUGAUCAUGGCUCAGAAUGAACGCUGGCGGCGUGCUUAACACAUGCAAGUCGAACGAUGAAGCCUAGCUUGCUAGGUGGAUUAGUGGCGCACGGGUGAGUAAUAUAUAGGUAACGUGCCUCUUAGUCUGGGAUAGCCAUUGGAAACGAUGAUUAAUACUAGAUACUCCUUCUGAUUAUAAUUUCAGUCGGGAAAGUUUUUCGCUAAGAGAUCGGCCUAUUUCCCAUCAGCUUGUUGGUAGUGUAAGAGACUACCAAGGCUAUGACGGGUAGCGGGUUUGAGAGGAUGAUCCGCCACACUGGUACUGAGACACGGACCAGACUCCUACGGGAGGCAGCAGUGAGGAAUAUUGCACAAUGGAGGAAACUCUGAUGCAGCAACGCCGCGUGGAGGAUGACGCAUUUCGGUGUGUAAACUCCUUUUAUGAGUCAAGAAAAUGACGGUAGCUCAUGAAUAAGCACCGGCUAACUCCGUGCCAGCAGCCGCGGUAAUACGGAGGGUGCAAGCGUUAUUCGGAAUCACUGGGCGUAAAGGACGCGUAGGCGGGAAGCCAAGUCUGAUGUGAAAUCCUAUGGCUCAACCAUAGAACUGCAUUGGAAACUGGUUACCUAGAGUAUGGGAGGGGGAGAUGGAAUUAGUGGUGUAGGGGUAAAAUCCGUAGAUAUCACUAGGAAUACCGAAAGCGAAGGCGAUCUCCUGGAACAAUACUGACGCUAAGGCGUGAAAGCGUGGGGAGCAAACGGGAUUAGAUACCCCGGUAGUCCACGCCCUAAACGAUGUUCACUAGUCGUCGGAAUGCUAGUCAUUUCGNNGANNNNNCUAACAGAUUAAGUGAACCGCCUGGGGAGUANGGU